CAUUUGCCUUAUAAUUGAAGGCUAGUAUGAAUGGUUUGACAAGAAUGUAGCUGUCUCUUUAUAAUUAAAUAGAAUUUUAUUUAUAGGUGAAGAAGCCUAUAUUAAAUUAAAAGACAAGAAGACCCUAUCGAGCUUGAAAGAAACUAGUAGAGUAAUAAUUAAUGAUAUCAAAAAAUUUACUAUUAGAAAUUUUAGUUGGGGCGACUAAGGAACAAAAAAAGCUUCCUUUAAAAAUUAAAAACUAAACAAGUAUUGAUCCAAAACAUUUUGAUUAAAGGAAUUAGUUACCGUAGGGAUAACAGCAUUAUCUUUUUUAAGAGCUCUUAUCGAAAAAAAGGUUUGUGACCUCGAUGUUGGACCAGAAUAUCCUAAAGAUGCAGCAGUCUUUAAGGGUUGGUCUGUUCGACCAUUAAAAUUCU
rnacentral:rRNA from 1 species